rnacentral:rRNA from 1 species
GACGGAGGAUGCAAGCGUUAUCCGGAAUUAUUGGGCGUAAAGCGUCCGUAGGCGGUUUCAAAAGUCUGUUGUUAAAGCCCACAGCUCAACUGUGGAUCGGCAAUGGAAACUGUGAGACUAGAGAGUGGUAGGGGUAGAGGGAAUUCCUGGUGUAGCGGUGAAAUGCGCAGAUAUCAGGAGGAACACCAGUGGCGAAGGCGCCACUCUGGGCCGUAACUGACGCUGAGGAGCGAAAGCAUGGGUAGCAAACAGG